rnacentral:lncRNA from 1 species
AUGCCUCCUGAGAGGAGCAGAAAGCAGAGGGAAAGGGACCUGUACACACUGUCAGCCUGCUGUGCAAGACACGCUAAAAUGAUGCCAGCGAGGCACUUCUGCAGAGGGGGUCUCAGCUCCAGCCUGGCCGAAGCAACAGAGAAGUUGUCUGGGAGAUAUUCUGUGGCCAGUGACUUUAGGCUCCUCCCUGCAUGGCAAGUGUGCACAAACAUCAUCUGACUGGUGGAUGCUGGGGGUAGCUGAACUGCUUUAUAGGAACUCUGCUGGGGAGUGUUCUGCGCACAUGCAAGGCUGUGUGAUAUCGGUACUUAGACUUGACUGCAAGCAAACCAGUUUCUUAAAACAGAGAAAUUUCUAAAUUCACAGAGCAAAAGGUCUGGCAAGUGAAGAACUAAAUGACAAAUACCAUAUCAGCUAAGCACAGAAGCAUUCCAUGUAAUAGAAGAUACCCACACUUUGAGACCAGAGACCAAUUUAACUCCUUAACCAUGCAGGAUGGCUAAACAUUUGUUACAUAACAGCAACUUCACAUGGCAUUUUUACAUCCUGCCAUCUUUUCACUGAAGAACAGAAGAUUAGACUUCUACCGACUCUGAGAGACGGGGAGUGGAGCCAGCAGCAAUAUUUAGCACAGAGUGACUGAUUUCUGGCACCAUCUAGCUUCUCUACAAGAGGAAUCUGGCAGCCUGGUAGGUGCUUUUCAAAGCCACUGAUUGAAUGGUUGAUACUAGUGCUAUACAAAGGCUCAAGACAGCACAGGAAAGAAUAAGAAAUAAAGUAGUUCUGGGGCUUAAGACCUACUAUUUU